CUUACUGCCAUAGGGUUAUUCCUAGGUCACCCACUCAUGUCGAGCAUUUUAAAGCCUACGGCAUAGUCUGGCUAAGGCCCGCAUGAGAAAGAUCCCUGAAGACAGAUGGUGAAGGGGAUAAGUAGAAUGUAAAGAAUGGAAUUGGACCGGCUAGUUAUGGGCGAUGAUCUCCAACACCCACCUGUCCAGUGUCAUGGCAGACCACACCUGAUAGAAUGGGGCACGGUGGCCUUUGAAGGUAGAACAGCAAGAAGGAAAAACGCCCC